ACGGGGUGCAGCAGGCGCGAAAACUUUACAAUGCGGGCAACCGCGAUAAGGGGACCUCGAGUGCUGGGUUACAAACCUGGCUGUUGGGCUGCCUAAAAAGCAGUCUAUAGCAAGGGCCGGGCAAGACCGGUGCCAGCCGCCGCGGUAACACCGGCGGCUCAGAGUGGUAACCGCUAUUAUUGGGUCUAAAGGGUCUGUAGCCGGCCGACUAAGUCUCUUGGGAAAUCUGGCAUCUCAAGUGUCAGAGACUGCCAGGGGAUACUGGUCGGCUUGGGACCGGGAGAGGUGAGAGGUACCUCGGGGGUAGGGGUGAAAUCUUGUAAUCCUCGAGGGACCACCAGUGGCGAAGGCGUCUCACCAGAACGGAUCCGACGGCAAGGGACGAAAGCUAGGGGCACGAACCGGA
rnacentral:rRNA from 1 species